GAUGAAGAACGUAGCGAAAUGCGAUAAGUAAUGUGAAUUGCAGAAUUCAGUGAAUCAUCGAAUCUUUGAACGCACAUUGCGCCCGCCAGUAUUCUGGCGGGCAUGCCUGUUCGAGCGUCAUUUCAACCCUCAAGCCCCAGCGGCCUGGUGUUGGGGACCGGCGACCUCGCCCGAGCCCGCCCUCCGGGGCGCGUGCCCGGUGCGUCCGCCGCCCCCGAAAUGAAUUGGCGGCCUCGUCGCGGCCUCCUCUGCGUAGUAGCACAACCUCGCAAGCGGGAGCGCGACGCGGCCACUGCCGUAAAACGCCCAACUUUUUUAGAGUUGACCUCGGAUCAGGUAGGAAUACCCGCUGACCUUAAGCAUAUCAAUAAGCGGAGGA
rnacentral:misc_RNA from 1 species